ensembl:lncRNA
AGAUUUUCAUAGUCACAAUAACGGUGGUGGAGACGGGGGGAACAUAAAAUUGUUAUUGCUACGUGGAGUAAAAGAAAAUGUUGAUACAUGUGUUUUGGUAGGUUUUUUUUUUAAUGCAAUGGGGCCAGUGUAUAGUAAAAAAGUCCUAAAUUCAGUGGCCUUCCACCGAUCAACCUCACGGAGGGACCUUCCCUUGCGUCCAAACUCCUUUGGCAGCCUCUUGCCCAAUUUGAUUAAGUUCUCCGAAAUAAUGCAGAUGGAUUGACUCCCAAUGCGGGUUGGAAGGGGCCCUCUCUGCCACAACCAGAUCAACUUUCUCAUCACUCCUAGGCACACCAGGUGCAUAAAGUCCAGCACAAAUUGGGUCACCAAGCCUACAUCUAGGUGUUGUAAUGGACUGUCGCCCUCUUUGUGAUGUUCCUGGUUGACUUUUGUGGCAAAACUGUCAUCGGUUCUGAGAACCGCAUCUGUUUCGGAGUAAUUUAGGCGUCAGUUUGCCCAUGAGCCCUCUUGCAUGCACCUUUCGCAGCCGUAAUAGGAAUUGUGUGCUUUUAUGUUUUUUAGAAAUGCCCUUGCCGGUGCAUCACAGACAAAACAGGAAAUUUCGAUUUGAAUUUUUUUUGACUGAUACUCCAAGCCAUCAGAUGCAAGCUUCCCCAUCUCUGCCACAAAGUCAGAGAGGUACUCGCUUGCAUCGGUUGGCUUGGAGUAUCCACAAUAUAAACCAAUUAGAAAUGGGGAUCUAAUGGGGUCCUCUUCAAUUAGUGCAAGAAUUGGCCAAAAUUGCUGGCUGCUGCUUUUAAAAAGGGGCAGGCCAUCCACAUUUAUUUGUAGUUUUAGUGUUUGGUUUUUAGCUAAGUCCUGUUCUUGCAUUCGGCCCAAGAUCCCUUUUGCCACACCAAAAUAGUGCAUGUUCCCCCCCAGCUUUUGGUACUAUCUCCGCAUAAGUAGGGGUUGACAGGAGAGUGCGGCCGUCUUUUGGCAGUUUGGAAUCUGGGAAGUGCUUGCGAAGCACGGAGAGCAGGCUGGAAAUGUGGGAAAUUGGUGUAUUUGUUGUGAUUGCCCAUUCCUUGAGCUCAUGUCUUAAGUCCCUUUGAAAACUGCCCCCCUCCUCUGAAUCUGAGCCACUGCUAGAGCUCGACAAAUCAUUGAACUCCCAGUCAUCCUCGCCAGAGGAGGCGCUCUCCUCUGAUGCCAUUACCCAAUCCCCAUCUCCGCUUUCGUCGUCGUUUUCUAUUUCUGUGUAAGCUGGGACACUUGGUGGUGUGUCUAAUGUGUCUGCGCCAGCGGGCCAGGUUAAAUUCCCAUCUCUCAGACUUACCUGAUCCUCCAUCCAAACUCUGAUGUUGGAAUCCAUGCUGUCCAGUCCAUGUGAAGAGCACAGGAAGGCUUGUUGCAGCACACUUAAUAGUAGGGUAUCACCAUAUGUCUGGUUGAGCUCACAAAAGAUCUCGUCUGGCUCAGCUGUUUGAAGCGCAUCUACCUAAAUGUGUCAUUGUAAGGUGGUCUCCCUCUCUCCCUCCCCACCUCUCUCCCUCCCCACCUCCCUCUCUCCCUCCCCACCUCCCUCUCUCCCUCCCUCCCUUAUCACUCCUAGGCACACCAGGUGCAAAGUCCAGCACAAAUUGGGUCACCAAGCCUACAUCUAGGUGUUGUAAUGGACUCUCCGCUUUUAAAGCCUAAGGGGAGAAAAGCGACCUGGGCCCUCUUGCAUGCACCUUUCGCAGUCGUAAUAGGAAUUGUGUGCUUUUAUUUUUUUUUAGAAAUGCCCAUGCCUGUGCAUCACAGACAAAACAGGAAAUUUCGAUUUUAAUUAGAACAGUAACCCGGCUUGCGGAGGUACCUUCCCUUACACCCAAACUCCUUUUCUGUACAUAGUUUCUCAUUUAUUUAUUUUGUCUGUUCAGUCAAAUUGCAAAGAUUGUAUUUAUAUAUUGCAUUUCAUUUUGUUUGCAUUGACAUACACAUGACAAUUAAAACUUGCAUUGUACUAUUUUAUA